rnacentral:rRNA from 2 species
GAGUUUGAUCCUGGCUCAGAAUGAACGCUGGCGGCGUGGUUAAGACAUGCAAGUCGAACGGUGUUUCAGGUGUAGCAAUACACUUGAAACGCAGUGGCGAACGGGUGCGUAACACGUGAACAAUCUACCUUUUAGUGUGGAAUAGCUCGCCGAAAGGCGAAUUAAUACCGCAUGUGGUUGGUUCUCGCAUGAGAGCCAUACUAAAGUCAGGGACCGCAAGGCCUGACGCUAUUAGAGGAGUUCGCGGCCUAUCAGCUAGUUGGCGAGGUAACGGCUCACCAAGGCUAAGACGGGUAGCUGAUCUGAGAGCAUGAUCAGCCACACGGGCACUGAGACACGGGCCCGACUCCUACGGGAGGCAGCAGUGAGGAAUAUUGGUCAAUGGACGCAAGUCUGAACCAGCCAUGCCGCGUGAAGGAUGAAGGCGUUCUGCGUUGUAACUUCUUUUAUUGGGAAG